UACGGAGGAUGCGAGCGUUAUCCGGAUUUAUUGGGUUUAAAGGGUGCGUAGGCGGAGUGUCAAGUCAGCGGUAAAAUUUCGGGGCUCAACCUCGUCGUGCCGUUGAAACUGACACCCUUGAGUGGGCGAGAAGUAUGCGGAAUGCGUGGUGUAGCGGUGAAAUGCAUAGAUAUCACGCAGAACCCCGAUUGCGAAGGCAGCCUUCCGGCGCCCUACUGACGCUGAGGCACGAAAGUGCGGGGAUCGAACAGG
rnacentral:rRNA from 1 species